rnacentral:lncRNA from 1 species
AGAGAUUUAGUUCAUUGUUAUUGAAUUAAAAUUAAGAAUCCAUAACUAAAUAAACAUUAGAAAAACAAAAAUAGAAGUAGAGUAGAGAAUAAAAUCUAUAUAUUGUUUGCAAAUUUGGUGCUCCCCUCUUGCUCCUGGUUUUGAUCUUCAAUGAUAUCCAAGUUGCUUUAAUCUCCAACAAUCCAAUGUAAACUAGGAAUAUGUUCAAAUAUAAUCUAAUCUGAUCUCCCUUGUAUGUAUCAAAAUUCUCCUCCCUUUUAUAGAUAAAUAUUCUCCCAAGUCAGCCCUUCAGUAGUAUCCUAAUUGGAAUAGAAAUUUACUUUCCUUAUCUUUUCUUUCAUUCCUUUGCACAAAAUUCGUCAACAGUUACUGCUGCCCAGUGCCUCGACGCUGGAUUUGUACUGCGAUAUAGCGCCCCAGCGCUGUCCCUGUUCUGCAAAUUCCAUUUUUGCCCUUAAUGAAGCUGAAUUCCCUAUUUUGCCCUCCUGUUGCCUUAACCUACAAAAUAAAAAUAAAAAUAAACAAAUAAAAAUGUCCCAAAAUACUUAAAAACAAACAAUAUAUUAAUUCUAAAAAUACUUAAUUCACGGGUAUAUUAUCCACUCAUCAAAUACCUCCAAACUUAGACAAUUGCUUGUCCUCAAGCAAUGCAAACAACUAAAACAAUAUGAAUGCAAAAACUCACUACAUGAAAUACAAACUCAAGCAUGAAUCACAAUGAUAACCUUAGACAGCCUUAAAGAUCCUUAAACACAACUCGAAUGAAUAUUCAAAAUCAAAUAUCAGUUAACUUGAAAGAUCAUUAACUCAAUUUAUCUCCAACCCACAAUGUGUAUGUGAGUGUAUCAACAUGUCAAUCUCACCACAAAUCAAUCAAACUUGAAAUUUCAUGAAGUCCAAAGACAAAUAUUUUCAGAUAUAAGAAAUUUAUUACCCCCUAUUUCAAAAAUAUUUUAUUAUACACUUUUUUUCUUAACUCGACCAGUGCAAUGUCUAGUUUUCUUAGGCUUUUCAAUGCUACCCAUGUAACGAACUUUCGACCAACACUCCCAAACCAGACGACUUUAGGGUACUAGGUGUUAAGACACCCCUACAGAUCUAAUAACCCGAAUAGCAAAAGCCACAAAACUAAAAGUAGCCAAGUGUUUAUUUAUAUUUAUUUAUUCUGACUUGUGCAAUGUUAUUUUUUAUUAGGCUAUUCAAAGUUACCCAUAUAACGAACUUUCGACCAACGACUCCCAAACCAGACGAUUUUAGGGCGCUGAGUGUAGAGACACUCCUAAGGGAUUACUUAUCCAAAUAAUAGAGGCCACAAAGACAACUAGUCAAAAUUUAUUCCAUUUUUUUCAGUUUUUUUUCUGAAUUUUUUUUAUUUGUUUUUUGUAUAGAUAGUUUUCAAAACACGAGGUAACUAAAUCAUAGAGGGGAUGUUUAUAUCUGUCCUAAGCCACAAUCCUUUCAAUUCAACUAAUUCACGACUCAAUUAACAUACUGACCUUGUGCAAUUAAUUCAGGGUUUUUUUCAAUAAAUCAAAUCAAUAAUACCCACAAGAUCAACUAAGUCUUCAUUAUACCAUUCAUUCAAGUUGUAACUUAAUUCACAAAUUUUUAUCAUUGGCCAACACAAGGUUGCAUGCUUCAUCAUGCACGCUUAAGUUAUCCUAAAUGCGAGCCUAAAUGCAAUGUAUGAAACAAACUCAUGCAACUAAAAAUAAACAAUACUAAAUGUAAUCUAGAUACAAACACAACAAUUUUUUUAAAAAAAUAAUCAAUAUUCUAUUAUGCAAACUAUGAUGCACGUGUAAACAACAAAUACCCCCAAACUUGAAUAGAGCAAUGUCCUCAUGCAAAAAAUAAAGAACUAAAAAAUUGAGGACUUCCCUGAUUUGGUCAAUCGUUGUGAUUGACCUCCUCAUCUCUCUCAUCUUCUUGUUCGGAAGGUUGACAGCCGACAAUGUGGGUAGGGCGCCACAGGAAACUGGCUAUAGUCCAUGGCAAGGUUCAUCUCGACAAUCAUAUCGACGAUGCAUACUCCCUCAAACUUGAAUUUUAAUGCACUCUGCAAGUCAAGUAUACUAAAAUGGGACCAUAAAUGUGCUCAUGUGCAUGGCUAUAAGGUUUCUUGGGCAAACUAACAUCCAAUUGUAAAGAUUUCACAAAUAAUUUUCUCAUAGUCAAUUUAUCAAAUACCUUGUAAGCGUUAAAUAAAAUCAUAAUGAUUUGCCUCUAAUGUUAGUGAGCUAAUCCCAAAUAGACAUCAAUACACUCCCAGUCAGUUAAAUAUCACAUACAAAGUAUAAAGCAUGAAAAAUCAAAUCACAAUACUUUGCAUACAUAGCCCACAAUUAUAUACCUUGGUUUGGAGUAGAUUAAACAAAUUUUUUUAUGUUCAAGUCCUUGCUAGAUUUGGAACUUAACGGGUGUGGGGAAUAAUUAGGUCUUGAAAAAUUAGGAGAAGAAAAAGAGAGAAGAAGUUUAGAGAAGUUGGAGUUUGAGUAGAAAAAGGAGAAAAAUUACCUUCCCCGAACAAUUUUUUUAUACCUGUUACCCAGCGCCGGGCACUGGGAUUUUUGCUUGCAAGGAGCGCCGAGGCGCUGUAUGGACGCGAGCUCUCUGAUGACCAGCGUCGGGGCGCUAGUUUUCCUUGUUUUCCCAGCACCGGGGCGCUAUGGUUGGCUUUUGCUCAACAAAUUUCCUUAUCGUUUCAUGCAAUUUUCUCCUUUCUCCCCUUUUCUCCUGUGCUAUCCUUCAAUUGGACCUACAAAGAUUAAGUUGAAGCUUAAGAUAUCAAUGAAAAAUAAAGAUGACUAUAUACUAAUCUAUUAAUUAAAAUUAAAAAUGAAAUUAACUAAAUUAAACUAAAAUUUUGGGCUGCCUCCCAAUAGAGCUUAGUUUAUAGUCGUCAGCCCGAAUUUCUUGAAUUUUUACUACCCAAUUCCCCUUCUGAAAUUGAAGAACCCUCAAUUCAUUAAUAAAACUAUGAUAUUUGAGACCUUCCCAACUAAAAGGGCCAGUGCUUUAAAUUCACAUGUCUUGUUCUUGUUAGAUAGAUUCUUCUUUAAGAUAUGCAAAGAGAUAGGCUUUUGCCCAAUUGUGUCUGUGAACAAAUUGUAGAAUUGACACUUUUCAAACACAUCUGGCUCUUCUUUUAUCUUUCCCUUCUCAUCCCACCAUGGCUCUAAAAUUAAUCUAGCUCUCAUGUAAAAUGGAGUGUUACAGACGACAUGGCUACCAAUUGGGCACGAGAUUGCAAAUCUACCCGGAUCAUUGAAUUUUGGUGGAGAAGGCACAUGAGGCACUUUCAAAAUCG